AUGACCCACAACAAAAAGGUAUUAAUAGGACCUCCACCUAGGAUUACCUUCACCCCUAGCAUUGGAGAUGCUCUUAAUAGGGUACAAACAGUUUCCUUGGCUGAGUUACCCGCAAUCCAUACUGAGAAGAAAAUCAAAACAUGUGUAUUUGAUCUUCUCUUUUGAAGAUAUAAGAGAUGUGAAGAAGAAAGAUGAAAAAAAAAGAUGGAGACCAGGUUUAUAAACACGAAUUCUAGGGAUUUCCGACAGAAUUAUGACGCUUCCACAUGCAGGGCCAUUUAAGUGCCAAUAUAUAUUUGCUUCAGAUAGUCAUGGAGACUCAUGCCAGCCAGCCUUCUAUCCGAAAUAUCAGACCUUUGGCGGGUUUGUAGGGUUAAAUAUCAUUGGUCUUUAGAUGGCUUCUGUCUAGGUUUGUUGUUCCGGAUCAAGACACAUCUUUGUGGUUGCAUUGGAAUUUAAGUAGAAUUGGCCAGUAUCAAGGUUUUGAAGAGGCAUUGUAGGAAGUUUACUAAUUUGUGAUAGUUGGAGAGCUUUUUGAUGAGACUAAUAGCCAUUGUAGUACUCGAUAGGCUGCCCACUGGUGUUAAUUAAUGUUUCGUGCUCUACCAUUUUGUAUCAAUUGAGAGAGAAUAUUAAUUGAGAUACACAUUUGAAGGAAAAAAUUAAGAGAAAAAGUAAUUUAAAGAAUACGUUGGGGAUUUCAGGUA